UUGAGGGCAUUUUUGAUUGUAAAAAAUAUGUGUGUACGUCACCGUAGUCUCUGCAAUGAUAAUUUUAUCAGAGCAGUCUCGCGCAAGUAGAAGUUCUUUACCUAUUAGUUCUUCACUUAUUAGUCUCAACGUCUGGCGCAAAGCCAGACGUUUUCCAUUACGAUUUCACUACGAUGUUUGACAAGAAGGAGCAGUGCGCGAGAUAUGCUAAUGAGCAGACUUCCCUCGCUUGAGUUUCUGAAGAAUGUUCCAUAUCGCGCUAAGCUCAUCACUGCUGAUUAUGACAGGCGUGCAACGGCACACAUCCACAGAGCACUCUUCAAAUCAUCUACACAGUGGUUAUCCAACUAGGAUUAUAAAGGCACACAUUGACAUAGACCACUGUUGCAAUCAACGACACAGUCGCUAUCCAAGUAGCAUUAUAGAGCUGUCAUGCAACGCAACAACUGUGCUAUCUGCCAUCGCACAUCAACGAAGAAGUGCAGCCGCCCACAUUCCACCUCACGUCUGUCCGACCAGCUGCAAUCCUCGAGGACGCCCCACUGUACCACGAUUUCACUACGAUGUUUGACAAGAAGGAGCAGUGCGCGAGAUAGGCUAAUGAGCAGACUUCCCUCGCUUGAGUUUCGGAAGAAUGUUCCAUAUCGCGCUAAGCUGACCACUGCUGACCAUGACAGGCGUGCAUUGGACUGGUACAGG